CGCCUCUUGACUAAAUAUAAGAGGUCCAGCCUGCCCAGUGACUAAUGUUCAACGGCCGCGGUAUCCUAACCGUGCGAAGGUAGCGUAAUCACUUGUUCUUUAAAUGGGGACUUGUAUGAAUGGCAUCACGAGGGUUAUACUGUCUCCUUUUUCCAAUCAGUGAAUCUAAUCUCCCCGUGAAGAAACGGGGAUACAACUAUAAGACGAGAAGACCCUAUGGAGCUUUAAAUACCUCUUCAAACGUUGGACCUUUCCCCCCAGUUUUUAACUCACUUAUAUUAACCCUGAACGCCAUGAAGACAACUUUUAGGUUGGGGUGACCGCGGAGAACAACAAAACCUCCACGCUGAAUCAGACUUUCUAAGCCUGAACUAAGAGCCACCGCUCAAUGCACUAAAAAAUUAACAUCUAUUGACCCAAUACAUCACUUGAUCAACGAACCAAGUUACCCUAGGGAUAACAGCGCAAUCCAUUUCAAGAGUCCAUAUCGACAAGUGGGUUUACGACCUCGAUGUUGGAUCAGGGUAUCCCAGUGGUGCAGCCGCUAACUAAUGGUUCGUUUGUUCAACGAUUAAAACCC
rnacentral:rRNA from 1 species